rnacentral:rRNA from 1 species
AUGGAUCGCAUGUCGUCGCGUCCGGCGAGCCCGGGCGGCGGCGGUGGUUACGUGCGGCGGGGCGCGUACGUCUCCAGCAGCGCGCACACGUCGCCGGGCGGGUCCCCGUCCGCGUCCCCGGUGCACACCCGCCACACGCGCUCGGGGUCGCUCGGCGGGGCCGGGUCCACCUCCUCCGCCGGCCGCCGGGGGGCGGGGGCCGCUGCCGCCGCGCGCGCGGCCGCGCAGCGCCUCGCGCGCGUCAUGGGCGGGCCCGUAGGAGAGGACGGCGGCAGCGGCAGCGAAGGCGAGGAGUGCGAACUCUCCGGCCCGCCCAUCGAGCUAUCCACCCCGCGCCGGCCCGGCAACCGCUCCCCCUCCCCCUCGAUAGGUCGUUACCUUGCGGAUCAGGCGCCGGUCGUUAGCCGGCCACCCUCGCUGACGAACCGGUAUGUGCCCGGGAAGUCGGUUCCGAUGAUACCAUCCAUCAAGCAAUCAAACCGGCCAGCGACAAGCGGAACAGGGUCGGAAUCGUCCGUCUCGGUCCCUAACCGAAGGGAGCAAAGGAGAUCAGUUGAUCUUGGAAGCUCGAUGAGAGGACGGCGCUCCUCUUCUUCUCUUAAUGAUGAGAUUAACACACUUCAAAUGGAAAAUGAUAGCAUGUACGAAAAGCUUGAAGAGGAUAGAUGCUAUGAAGCAGAUGUCAGACAGGCUGCUGGUAUGGGUGAUGCCAUAGAACCGGAGGUCAAUUUGAUUAGCAGAAAGGCUGCAGCACUAGAACAGAGAAGGGCUUCAAUGAGAAUUGCUUCAAGAAGGGGUAACAGUGCAAGCUGCGAUGAGAUUACAGCCCUUCGAUCAGAAGCAAAGGUUGCUGGUGAGAUGGCCACAUCUGUAUCUCGGCGUGUAGGUAUUGGAUCAGAACUGAGAUCUCUUCAUGCAACAUCCAACAGAACGAUCCUGUCACAAGAAGAAAUGGAGGAGGUGGUGCUAAAGAGGUGUUGGCUCGCCCGCUACUGGAAACUAUCUGUUAGACUUGGGAUACAUUCUGAUAUCGCUGCACAAAAACUAGAACACUGGUCCUCAGUUGCACCACUUGCACUUGAAGUCGUCCUAUCAAUUGGGCAAAAAGCUAGAGAUGGAAGUUUAUCAGAUAAUGAUGUAAAUGAUACGGCUGGAGAUGGAAAUAUUGAGAGCAUGCUUUUAGUUGAGAAAGGACUUCGUGAAUUAGCUUCGCUCAAGGUAGAAGAUGCAAUCAUGCUGGCUUUAGCAGAACAUCGACGAUACAGACCUCUCUCAGGUCCAGUUUUUCCUGCUGAUAGUCAUAGUUCUCCGGAGUCAACUGAGUUAAGUGAGGAUGAGCGAGAUGAUGUACGCUUCAAGCAGGCAUGGUUGACCUACUUUUGGAGGCGGGCCAAAAACCAUGAUGUAGAGGAAGAUAUAGCUGACGACCGUCUACAAUUUUGGAUAGAGCAAGGCAACCACCCAGUUACUACAAGUGAUGUAGUUGAAGUCGAUAGAGGACUUCAUGAGCUGAAGAAACUGGGGAUCGAGUCUCAGCUGUGGGAAGCCACGAGGAGAGCUUUCGACGAUGAAUCCAUUAAUCAUGGAAGUCCAUUUGGAUCUGAAGUUUAG